rnacentral:rRNA from 1 species
UACUGGGCGUAAGCGCACGCAGGCGGUCUGUCAAGUCGGAUGUGAAAUCCCCGGGCUCAACCUGGGAACUGCAUUCGAAACUGGCAGGCUAGAGUCUUGUAGAGGGGGGUAGAAUUCCAGGUGUAGCGGUGAAAUGCGUAGAGAUCUGGAGGAAUACCGGUGGCGAAGGCGGCCCCCUGGACAAAGACUGACGCUCAGGUGCGAAAGCGUGGGGAGCAAACAGGAUUAGAUACCCUGGUAGUCCACGCCGUAAACGAUGUCGAUUUGGAGGUUGUGCCCUUGAGGCGUGGCUUCCGGAGCUAACGCGUUAAAUCGACCGCCUGGGGAGUACGGCCGCAAGGUUAAAACUCAAAUGAAUUGACGGGGGCCCGCACAAGCGGUGGAGCAUGUGGUUUAAUUCGAUGCUACGCGAAGAACCUUACCUGGUCUUGACAUCCACAGAACUUUCCAGAGAUGCAUUGGUGCCUUCGGGAACUGUGAGACAGGUGCUGCAUGGCUGUCGUCAGCUCGUGUUGUGAUAUGUUGGGUUAAGUCCCACAA